rnacentral:sRNA from 2 species
CGCAGUUGCUCAAUCUGCAAUUGUUGUGAAGUGACAAACAAUCCACGGCAAAAAAUCCACCCGGCGGGCGUGUUUUCUUUGCAGACCUGCCUCUGAGGCUGUCUUCUUAAACUUUCGCCCUGCUGUCAUUGCUCUUGUCAAAAAGAAUACAUGUUGCAUAUAUUUUGAGCAAUAUCUAGCUGGACACAGGCCAUAAGUUGUACCAGCUGUUGGGAGUUCAAAUCAUAACCAAGUCAAAAUCUAAAACUGUGGGAAAGGGGCAUUGCGACCUCAGGUAUGCGUCGCAGUACUGACGCAGCCAAAUCGACAUGUGGAGUCGAACAGCCAGGACGAUGGUAAAAAUUGGAUUAUCCGCGCCCUCUGCUCGCCGCGUUACUCGUCACACUGACUCCGUGUAUUACUUGCUAAUAGGCCCCGCCGUCUCAGCAAUAAUAACCCGCUCAAUGAUAAUGUAUCCUGCCCCC